GUCAAUGCUAAUCUUGUCAAAUUAUCGUGAGCUGAAGUUUUGUCACGAAAACGAUCAUCGUCCAACAGAAUCCUUGCUUUUUCUGGAUUACUUUCGAGCUCCUGCAGGAUCGAUACUACUUCGUUUAUGGCCGUGGAUUGUACCUACAAAAAAAUUGAAAUAUUAUCAAACAUGGGGAAAUGAUAAAAUACCUGAACGAAAUCGGUACUGCAAACACCACUUGAUGCAGUAUUACCAAGUUCAUCGCAAAGAUAAACAGGAGGAUUCGUUUGUGUGUCACUUUGAGUUUCAGAACUCCAGUCGUUGCUUUGAAUACCUGAAGUAUCUUCGACAGAUGAUCGACGAGUUGUUGCUGUUACCGUUACUGGUUGCUUCUUUAAAUCAUCCCAGGUUUUCAAAGCAUCGGAUCGAAAGGAAACCUUUUAUAAAUAAUAAAGAAAAAAAGAAAAAGAAGAAGAACAACAACAAGAGGGAUAAGUACCAGUUUGUUUCGAAUCGAUGAGAUAAUUAAGUCGUUUUUUCGAUAGCCUAGUCUUACGUGGAUUUUCAUUUUCAGAACUCAUACGAGAUAUAGAAAGAAAACGUGGGGACGGUAUUAAAAUCCUGUAUUCCUCGCAUCUGAUCAAUCUUUCUGGAGUAUAACAAAUCCCUCGCGUUCGUUGAAGUAUCGGUUCACCACCUGCCAAUUCAUCGUGCAAAUUAUGAUCCUUUCUAUGGGUUAUUUUCGUCGUCGUUGUUGUUCUUGUUCUUGUAUCCUAUGAAAAGAAGAAAGAAUUUUAGAGUAAAUGUUUGUUUGGAUAAUCACAUUUAUAAAAAUAAUCAAAUUAAAAGAUAUUAUUCA